GAGAGAGAAACGAAAAAAACGAUGAUUGCUAAUCUUCGUCCCCUCGGUUAAACUCCGGGGCUCACUCG
rnacentral:tRNA from 1 species